UACGGGGGGAGCAAGCGUUGUUCGGAUUUACUGGGCGUAAAGGGCGCGUAGGCGGUCAGCACAAGUCAGUUGUGAAAUCUCCGGGCUUAACCCGGAAAGGUCAACUGAUACUGUGCGACUAGAGUGCGGAAGGGGCAACUGGAAUUCUCGGUGUAGCGGUGAAAUGCGCAGAUAUCAGGAGGAACACCGGUGGCGAAGGCGGUUCUCUGGGAAUGUCCUGACGCUGAGGAGCGAAAGUGUGGGGAGCGAACAGG
rnacentral:rRNA from 1 species